rnacentral:rRNA from 1 species
UACGUAGGGGGCAAGCGUUGUCCGGAAUCAUUGGGCGUAAAGAGCGUGUAGGCGGUUCGGUAAGUCGGCUGUGAAAGUCCCGGGCUCAACCCUGGGAUGCCGGUCGAUACUGCCGGACUAGAGUUCGGAAGAGGCGAGUGGAAUUCCCGGUGUAGCGGUGAAAUGCGCAGAUAUCGGGAGGAACACCGAUGGCGAAGGCAGCUCGCUGGGACGUUACUGACGCUGAGACGCGAAAGCGUGGGGAGCAAACAGG